CAGUAGCCGCGGUAAUACGAAGGUCCCGAGCGUUGUUCGGAAUCACUGGGCGUAAAGGGAGCGAAGGCGGCGUGGUAAGUCAGAUGUGAAAUCCCGGGGCUCAACCCCGGAACUGCAUCCGAUACUGCCGUGCUAGAGGAUUGGAGAGGUAGCUGGAAUUCUUGGUGUAGCAGUGAAAUGCGUGGAGAUCAAGAGGAACACUCGUGGCGAAAGCGAGCUACUGGACAAUAUCUGACGCUGAGGCUCGAAGGCCAGGGUAGCGAAAGGGAUUAGAUACCCGCGUAGUCCCUGUCUCUUAUAC
rnacentral:rRNA from 1 species